GAUAUCUCUUGGGACCAGUCAUUGCAAGCUUCAUUUAUGACGUCACACAAGUGUAUGAUUACACGUUCGUGUUCGGAGGUGCAUGUUUCUUGCUAAGUUCUAUGUCGACGGCAGGAAUAAGUCUUUUCCAAACAACGGUGAUUCCAGACAGAACAUUAUCGAUAUAACGGGAUACCGUUUUGUGAAUGAACACAUAAGAAAACCUGCGAUUUCCAACAUCCUUCACCAUGCAAUACAGUGAUAGCACACAUCGAAUUGAGGCAUGCUGUAUGUCUACCGGAAAACCAGGAUAUGCUGAUUGUCUUGUGAACACCUGGUGUCAUCACUGAUGAUCUUGUCCUACAAUUGUCACCCCCAUUUUCAAGCUCGAUAGAAUCUGUUUCCUCAGGUAAUAGGGACUGAUGUUUG